GACGAACGCUGGCGGCGUGCCUAAUACAUGCAAGUCGAGCGCAGGAAGCUCGCGGAACCCUUCGGGGGGAAGCAAGUGGAAUGAGCGGCGGACGGGUGAGUAACACGUAAGGAACCUGCCUCAAGGAUUGGGAUAACUCCGAGAAAUCGGAGCUAAUACCGGAUAGUUCUUCGGACCGCAUGGUCCGAUGAUGAAAGGCGCUCCGGCGUCACCUUGAGAUGGCCUUGCGGUGCAUUAGCUAGUUGGUGGGGUAAUGGCCCACCAAGGCGACGAUGCAUAGCCGACCUGAGAGGGUGAUCGGCCACACUGGGACUGAGACACGGCCCAGACUCCUACGGGAGGCAGCAGUAGGGAAUCUUCCACAAUGGACGAAAGUCUGAUGGAGCAACGCCGCGUGAGUGAUGAAGGUUUUCGGAUCGUAAAACUCUGUUGUAAGGGAAGAACAGAUACGAGAGGGAAUGCUCGUAUCCUGACGGUACCUUGCGAGAAAGCCACGGCUAACUACGUGCCAGCCGCCGCCGUAACAC
rnacentral:rRNA from 1 species